UUGUCGCCGUAGUUCUAAUAACAUAUAAGUAAUCAAAUAUGGUGAUUACGUUUCUACCAGAGAACCGAAUAAAUUCUCAGACUAUGGUAUAAAAACUCUUUUUU
rnacentral:ncRNA from 2 species